rnacentral:rRNA from 1 species
AGCGACGCCGCGUGGGGGAUGACGGCCUUCGGGUUGUAAACCUCUUUCCCCAUGACGAAGCGAAAGUGACGGUAGUGGGAGAAGAAGCACCGGCUAACUACGUGCCAGCAGCCGCGGUAAUACGUAGGGUGCAAGCGUUAUCCGGAAUUAUUGGGCGUAAAGAGCUCGUAGGCGGUUUGUCACGUCUGCUGUGAAAACUGGAGGCUCAACCUCCAGCCUGCAGUGGGUACGGGCAGACUAGAGUGCGGUAGGGGAGAUUGGAAUUCCUGGUGUAGCGGUGAAAUGCGCAGAUAUCAGGAGGAACACCGGUGGCGAAGGCGGUUCUCUGGGCAUGACCUGACGCUGAGGAGCGAAAGCAUGGGGAGCGAACAGGAUUAGAUACCCUGGUAGUCCAUGCCGUAAACGGUGGGUACUAGGUGUGGGUUCCUUUUCACGGGAUCCGUGCCGUAGCUAACGCAUUAAGUACCCCGCCUGGGGAGUACGGCCGCAAGGCUAAAACUCCAAGGAAUUGACGG